GCCAGGUGUGGUGGCUCACACCUGUAAUCCCAGCACUUUGGGAGGCUGAGGCAGGCGGAUCACCUGAGGUCAGGAGUUUGAGACCAGCCUGGCCAACAUGGUGAAACCCUGUCUCUA
rnacentral:SRP_RNA from 2 species